rnacentral:rRNA from 1 species
AUUGAACGCUGGCGGCAGGCUUAACACAUGCAAGUCGAGCGGGCGAGGUUGCUUCGGUAACUGAGCUAGCGGCGGACGGGUGAGUAAUGCUUAGGAAUCUGCCUAUUAGUGGGGGACAACAUUCCGAAAGGGAUGCUAAUACCGCAUACGUCCUACGGGAGAAAGCAGGGGCUCUUUAUGACCUUGCGCUAAUAGAUGAGCCUAAGUCGGAUUAGCUAGUUGGUGGGGUAAAGGCCUACCAAGGCGACGAUCUGUAGCGGGUCUGAGAGGAUGAUCCGCCACACUGGGACUGAGACACGGCCCAGACUCCUACGGGAGGUAGCAGUGGGGAAUAUUGGACAAUGGGGGGAACCCUGAUCCAGCCAUGCCGCGUGUGUGAAGAAGGCCUUUUGGUUGUAAAGCACUUUAAGUGGGGAGGAGGCUUACCUGGUUAAUACCUGGGCUAAGUGGACGUUACCCACAGAAUAAGCACCGGCUAACUCUGUGCCAGCAGCCGCAGUAAGAC